GAGAGAGGCCCGAUGGCAGUGAGCACUGCUAAUUCUUACAUCCCUGGUUAGACCCCAGGGCUCCCUCG
rnacentral:tRNA from 1 species